GAUGAACGCUAGCGGCAGGCCUAACACAUGCAAGUCGAGGGGUAGCAGGAUUAAGCUUGCUUAAUUGCUGACGACCGGCGCACGGGUGCGUAACGCGUAUGCAACCUACCUUAUACUGGGGUAUAGCCCGGAGAAAUUCGGAUUAAUCCCCCAUAGUACUAAUGAAUCGCAUGGUUUAUUAGUUAAAGCAUUGCGGUAUAAGAUGGGCAUGCGUCCUAUUAGCUAGAUGGUGAGGUAACGGCUCACCAUGGCUACGAUAGGUAGGGGGCCUGAGAGGGUGGUCCCCCACACUGGUACUGAGACACGGACCAGACUCCUACGGGAGGCAGCAGUGAGGAAUAUUGGUCAAUGGGCGCAAGCCUGAACCAGCCAUGCCGCGUGCAGGAAGAAUGCCCUAUGGGUUGUAAACUGCUUUUAUUUGGGAAUAAACCUCUUUACGUGUAGAGAGCUGAAGGUACCAAAUGAAUGAGCACCGGCUAACUCCGUGCCAGCAGCCGCCGCCGUAA
rnacentral:rRNA from 1 species